rnacentral:rRNA from 3 species
GUCUUUUUGUUAAAAAUUUAAAGUCAGGCCUGCCCACUGAAACUUUAAAUGGCCGUGGUAUUUUGACCGUGCUAAGGUAGCAUAAUCAUUAGUUUUUUAAUUGAAAGCUGGAAUGAAAGGUUUGAUAAAAAAAUGACUGUCUCUAUUUAAUUUUAUUAGAAAUUUAUUUUUAAGUUCAAAAGCUUAAUUUUUAUUAAAAGACGAGAAGACCCUAUAGAGUUUAAUAAUUUAAGGUAAUUUAUAUUUUAGAAUUAAUUUAUUUAUUUUUUAAUAUUAUUUAAUUGGGGUGAUUGAAAAAUUUAAUUAACUUUUUUUAUAUUUAACCAUUAAUUUAUGAUAAUUUGAUCCAAUUUUUUUGAUUAUAAGAUAAAAUUACCUUAGGGAUAACAGCGUAAUUUUUUUAGAAAGUUCAAAUUAAAAGAAAAGAUUGCGACCUCGAUGUUGGAUUAAAAUUAAAUUUUGGUGUAGAAGCUAAAAAUUUUAAGUCUGUUCGACUUUUAAAAUUUUACA